UUACGUAUACUGAAGGUAUACCGGAC
rnacentral:miRNA from 1 species